rnacentral:rRNA from 1 species
UUCAUCUUUUUGAUUUUGAUAUCGAUUUUGAUACAUAUAAGGUGUCCUACGAAUAAUGCAAAUCGAAGCUAUUUGAUGUCUGACUCAGAGUUUUUCUUUACGGAAAGAUAA